rnacentral:rRNA from 1 species
AUACGUAUGGGACAAGCGUUAUCCGGAAUUAUUGGGCGUAAAGAGUUCGUAGGCGGUCCUUUAAGUCAGAAGUGAAAGGCAGUGGCUCAACCAUUGUAAGCUUUUGAAACUGGGGGACUUGAGUGUUGGAGAGGAAAGCGGAAUUCCUAGUGUAGCGGUGAAAUGCGUAGAUAUUAGGAGGAACACCAGUGGCGAAGGCGGCUUUCUGGACAAAUACUGACGCUGAGGAACGAAAGCGUGGGGAGCGAACAGGAUUAGAUACCCUGGUAGUCC